rnacentral:lncRNA from 1 species
GCCUGCCUGUGUUUGUGCCUUAACCUCUAAAAGCAGGGCCUUGCAAAAGGACAAGGGCAGUUUAAUUUAAAUCUUUCUGGAGCUUAAACUCAGCUCUUUUCUUUUGUUUUUCGGAUUCCACCUUGUUGCUCUUCCCUUUCUUGCUGGGUUGCGUUUGCGUUUUCUCCUGAAUGUGUGGUUUCCAUCUCAUCCAGCAGAUCUAAGGAAUAUUCCGAUUAUUCUGCCGCCGCGACUUUAACCGUGCGCAAGGCGAGAGCUCGAAACAAACAUCACAUCUAAAUUAAAAAAAAAAAAAAAAAAA